GACGAACGCUGGCGGCAGGCUUAACACAUGCAAGUCGAACGAUCCUUCGGGAUAGUGGCAGACGGGUGAGUAACGCGUGGGAAUCUACCUUUUGGUACGGAAUAGCUCCGGGAAACUGGAAUUAAUACCGUAUGUGUCCUUCGGGAGAAAGAUUUAUCGCCAAGAGAUGAGCCCGCGUUUGAUUAGGUAGUUGGUGGGGUAAUGGCCUACCAAGCCGACGAUCAAUAGCUGGUCUGAGAGGAUGAUCAGCCACAUUGGGACUGAGACACGGCCCAAACUCCUACGGGAGGCAGCAGUGGGGAAUAUUGGACAAUGGGCGCAAGCCUGAUCCAGCCAUGCCGCGUGAGUGAUGAAGGCCCUAGGGUUGUAAAGCUCUUUCGCCGGUGAAGAUAAUGACUGUAGCCGGUAAAGAAGCCCCGGCUAACUUCGUGCCAGCAGCCGCGGUAAUACGAAGGGGGCUAGCGUUGUUCGGAAUUACUGGGCGUAAAGCGCACGUAGGCGGACAUUUAAGUCAGGGGUGAAAUCCCGGAGCUCAACUCCGGAACUGCCUUUGAUACUGGGUGUCUCGAGUAUGGAAGAGGUAAGUGGAAUUGCGAGUGUAGAGGUGAAAUUCGUAGAUAUUCGCAGGAACACCAGUGGCGAAGGCGGCUUACUGGUCCAUUACUGACGCUGAGGUGCGAAAGCGUGGGGAGCAA
rnacentral:rRNA from 1 species